UGUACUCCUUGGGAAAGCUUUCCUUAUCCUAAUGUCAUAAAAAUACUUUCCAGAAUUGAGGUGUUGGUGCAGCCAUUUCACACUAGUAACUCGUGUCUUAAGUGCCAGGUGCAAGGUCUCUGCAUGCGGUGCCCUCUGAGCAAGUGAAACUAGACUAACUUCAAAGGCAAAGAAAAAGGCUGCCUAAAGUCAUACUAAGCUCACAGCCACCCUGAAACACACUUCUUGACAUUGCCCUGCCCACCAGAGGGACAAGACUCAGCUCCGCCCACCAGAGGGCAGGCAUCAGCCCCUCCCACCUGGAAGCCUACACAAGCCCCUGGACCCACCAGGGACAGACACCAGAAUCAAGAGGAACUAUGAUCCUGCAGCCUGUGGAAAGGAGAACACAAACACACCGCACCGUGCGGCAUGCAGGAUCUUGGUUCCCCGACCAGGGAUCGAACCCACACCCCCUGCAGUGGAAGCCGGAGUCUUAACCACUGGACUGCUGGGGAAGUCCCCAAGCCCACCACUAAUUUUUGAGUGUAAAGGGAAACUGACACAAAAAGUUUGAGAAUCAUUGCUCUA